GAGCUAGAGCUUUGCCACUCAGCACAUCCUCUGAAAAGCUGUCUGCACAGCCGGAAAUAAGAUGUGUGCGGGUCUUACUUCCUUUCCGCUGUGUAGGAAAUUCCAUGGAUGAAUUUUACCCUCGGGGUUUCAGAGGAUUAAAACGCAAGCCCUAACAGGUCAUUAGUGGACUAUAAGACUCAGAGUCCCCAAGAGUCAUGGCUAAUAGGCAUUGGGGUUCUAAACUCUUUGCCAACCCCCCUGAGUCUCACAGCAGCCCCAUGGAGUGAGAGUGUGUGUGUGUGUGUGUGUGUGUGUGUGUGUGUGUGAUUCUACCAUACUUUCUUUGUGGAUGAAGAGCAAGGCACAGAAAGGUUAAAUAAAUUGCUUAAGGACUCUGUACGUAGUAUGUGACAGAACUGAGUUUGGUUCUAGAUUGGUGAGGUCCAGAAUUUAUACUCCUAUCCCUUCUAGGUCUCUGCCUCUAAAUCAAGAAGGGAAAGGAGUACCUACCCAGGACAGCCAUCAAGACUGCCUUUUAUAACUGCGCUCUCCUUGACUUUGUUCUGGGAUGGGCCUGAUGGCUCACAUGACCCAAGGCUCAAAGGUCUCGUGCAUGUGAGGCAGUGCACAGGUCCAGCUCAACACCAGGACUCACCUUGUCUUGAUCUGAGAUGGUACCGAGGUGAAGAUUAUCUUCUCUGGGUUUGCCUUGAGACCCACCCCUGAAGACUCAUAUCCUUAAAACCUGGGACUGGACUUCAUAGGGAGCCAUAAAAGACACCGUGAAACCUACAGUAGCUACCAAGAGUCCAUCCCCUGCACCUAAGGAGAGGAGCUGACUCUCAUUAGAGAGAAAAGUCUACUCUCUGCCCUUGUGGAAGACCACCCGAAACACAAAAGACCUCUGCAAGGGAAGAAGGCGGAGUGCCUGCAAAGUCUAGAAGAUGGCAUUAGAUCCCCUGGAAGUAGCAUUAAGGAUGGUUGAAAGCAGAGAAAAUUGAUUGCUAGAAAAAGAACCUGGGUCCUCUGCAAGAGCAUCAAGUGUUCUUGACCACUGAACCAUCUCUCCAGUCCCCACGAUGCAUUUACUCUUUGGACUGUUCCAGAUUCGGCUAAUGAAAGCCCAUUAUUCAA